UUGGAAAUCAGGACUAUUACUUUGAAAAAAUUAGAGUGUUUAAAGCAGGCUAACGUCUGAAUAUAUUAGCAUGGAAUAAUGAAAUAGGACGGCUUGGUUCUAUUUCGUUGGUUUCUAGGAUCACCGUAAUGAUUAAUAGGGAUAGUUGGGGGCAUUAGUAUUCAAUUGUCAGAGGUGAAAUUCUUGGAUUUAUUGAAGACUAACUACUGCGAAAGCAUUUGCCAAGGAUGUUUUCAUUAAUCAAGAACGAAAGUUAGGGGAUCGAAGACGAUCAGAUACCGUCGUAGUCUUAACCAUAAACUAUGCCGACUAGGGAUCGGACGAAGUUAAUUUUAUAAUGACGCGUUCGGCACCUUACG
rnacentral:rRNA from 1 species